AAUUUUCAUUCUAUGUUACUUCAGAAUAUGUUAAACAAUCAAUUAUAAAUCAGCUUUCUGCCCUUAUGUUAAAAAAUUGUGUAAGUACGAUAAUUAGCAAAUUUUCUUUUUUUUUAAAGUUUGUUUAUUUAUUAUUCAAAUAAUCUCUACACCCAGUGUGGGGCUCAAACUCAUGAGCUCUUGAUCAAGAGCUGCAACAAGAUCUGAGCCUUUAAACAGGUUCUUGUGGUCUCUUAAGAUUUUAAGCUGCUUUGGUCAGGUGUUCAGGUUAUUGAUUAUCUACAUAAAACUCUAAAUAUUCAGGGCACCUGGGUGGCUCAGUCGGUUGUGUGUCUGCCUUUGUCUUGGGUUAUGAUCCCAGGGUCCUGGGAUCGAGUCCUGCAUUGGGCUCCCUGCUCAGUGGGGAGUCUGCUUCUCCCUCUCCUCCUGCCCCUCCCUACCACUCAUGCCUCUCCCUCUCUCUCUCAAAUAAAUAAAAACUUAAAAAAAAAACUAUUCCACAAGCUCUACAGCACAUGUACAGACAAGUGACACCUUACUUGAAGGAGUAAUGGAUUUGGCCAGUAAAGAUUCACAGUUGACUUACUUACAAUUGUUUAAGCAAGCAUCUUCCUCUUUUAAGUUUUUAAGUAGGAUCUAAUAUUCAAAGCCAAAACUCAGACUACAAAAAUUCGUAUACUAUAUUGUUCAAAGAGUUUUAUGAGUAAAAGGGUAGAAAGCUGGGUUUUAUUAAACAACUAUACUUCUAACAAUUUUUAGUAUUUGCAUAGUAUGUGAUUAUGGUUGAGAUAAAUACCAUCAUCAGAUAUCUUUCAGCAAUAAUUAAUUGUUUCCUCCAGUGACCACUCACUGAUGGUCAAAUUCAAACUAAUUUAGUGUGUAUUUCCAAUAUUCUGACAAGUGAAUUUACGUUCUUCAUAGAAAGUGAAUCUUUUCUGAAGCUCUCACAAAAUGUAAUCACUUCUUAUCUCUCAUAGAUAUGCUGGCUGGGUAUGAUUUUUUAGGUCUUUCUCAGAGUAAUAAACACUUUAGCUAAUUACAGCUUUUAGGAAAAGCUUUUUUUUUUUUUUUUAAGAUUUUAUUUAUUUAUUUGACAGAGAGAGACACAGCAAGAGAGGGAACACAAAUAGGGGGAGUGGGAUCAUGACCUGAGCCGAAGUCAGACACUUAACCGACUAAGCCACCCAGGCGCCCCUCUAAUUCAUAUAUCUGAUAAGGAUUUAAUAAGCAGAAUAUAUUUUUUUAAAAUUCUUACAAUUCAAUGACAAAAAGACAACUGAAUUUUAAAAUAGACAAAGGACUUGAAUAAAUAGCCGUUUCCCCAAAAAGGAUAUAUGAAUGGCCAGCAAGUACAUGAAAAGAAGUUCAACAUCAUUGAUCAUAAAGGAAAUGCAAAUUAAAACCACUAUGAGAUACCACUUCACAACUACUAGGAUGUUGUAAUCAAAAAUACAGAAAAUUACAUGUCCUACAUAGAAAUGUGUAGAAAGAAAGAAGAUCUAAUAAAUAGAGGAAUAUACUACGUUCAUAGGUUGGAAACUUUGUCUUGCAAAGAUGUCAGUUCUUUCACAAUUGAUCUAUAAAUUCUAUAUACAACCUCAGUUAAAAUCCCAACAGAUUUUUUGUGGAAAGUGACUACCUCAUAAAAUUUAUAUGGAAGUGCAGAGGAUCAAGAAUAGCCAAGACUUGGGGCGCCUGGGUGGCUCAGUCGUUAAGUGUCUGCCUUCGGCUCAGGUCAUGAUCCCAGGGUCCUGGGAUCGAGCCCCGCAUCGGGCUUCCUGCUUGGCGGGAAGCCUGCUUCUCCCUCUCCCACUCCCCCUGCUGGUGUUCCCUCUCUCGCUGUGUCUCUCUCUGUCAAAUAAAUAAAUAAAAUCUUUAAAAAAAAAAAAGAAUAGCCAAGAUAGCUUUUAUGCCCGUGGACGCUGCCGAGUAAGCAUUGUUAAAGUCUCCCCUCCCACCGCCAUCAUGUCUAAGUCAGAGUCUCCCAAAGAGCCUGAACAGCUGCGGAAAGAUUUUUGUUGGUGGCAUUAAAGAAGAUACUGACGAACAUCAUCUAAGAGAUUAUUUUGAACAGUAUGGGAAAAUUGAAGUGAUCGAAAUCAUGACUGACCGAGGCAGUGGCAAAAAGAGAGGUUUUGCUUUUGUAACAUUUGAUGACCAUGACUCUGUAGACAAGACUGUCAUUCAAAAAUACCAUACUGUGAAUGGCCACAACUGUGAAGUAAGGAAAGCCCUAUCUAAGCAAGAGAUGGCUAGUGCUUCAUCCAGCCAAAGAGGUCAAAGUGGUUCUGGAAACUUUGGUGGUGGUCGUGGAGGUGGUUUUGGUGGGAAUGACAACUUUGGUCAUGGAGGGAACUUCAGUGGUCGAGGUGGCUUUGGUGGCAUUCGAGGUGGUGAUGGAUAUCGUGGCAGUGGGGAUGGCUGUAACUGAUUUGGUAAUGAUGGAAGCAACUUUGGGGGUGGCAGAAGCUAUAAUGAUUUUGGCAAUUACAACAGUCAAUCCUCAAAUUUUGGACCCAUGAAAGGAGGAAAUUUUGGAGGCAGAAGCUCUGGCCCCUGUGGUGGUGGAGGCCAGUACUUUGCCAAACCACGAAACCAAGGUGGCUGUGGUGGUUCCAGCAGCAGCAGUAGCUACGGCAGUGGCAGAAGGUUUUAAUCACUGCCAGGAAACAAAGCUUAGCAGGAGAGGAGAGCCAGAGAAGUGACAGGGAAGCUAUAGGUUACAACAGAUUUGUGAACUCAGCCAAGCACAGUGGUGGCAGGGCCGAGCUGCUACAAAGAAGACCUGUUUUAGACAAUACUCAUGUGUAUGGGCAAAAAACUCGAGGACUAUAUUUGUGACUAAUUGUAUAACAGGUUAUUUUUGUUUCUGUUCUGUGGAAAGUGUAAAGCAUUCCAACAAAGGGUUUUAAUGUAGAUUUUUUUUUUGCAGCCAUGCUCUUGAUUGCUAAAUGUAAUAGUCUGAUCAUGAUGCUGAAUAAAUGUGUCUUUAAAAAAAAAAAGAAUAGCCAAGACAGUAGUUAAGAGCAGAGCUUGAGGACUUACUACUGCCAGACACAUACUUGUUACAAAGCCCCAGUAUUUAAAACAAAGUGCUAUUCACCUAGCACCCAGAAUUUGGUUUCUAAAUACUCUUCUCCAAUAAAAGGAACCAAGAUUCUUUUGAAAAAGUGGUUAAUUCCACAACUGGGGCAUAGGAAAUACAAGAUGAGCCUGGAACACCUUUUGGUGCCAGUAAGCAAGGAUGUGCAUGGAAAAGGAUGAGGGCAUAUUGAAAGGACACAGGCGUCAACGUGAUGGAGCUUCUGAAGGCCAACCCUAAAUCAGUUUGAGCAACAAAACAAAUGAUCAUACUGAAUUAUAACCCAUAGACUAAAAUAUCCACAAAUUAAUACUGAUAUAAAUAAAUAAGAACGGACAACUCUUCCAUACAGAAGAAUUCCAAUUAAUGUACAAGGAAUUAGAAAACUACAAAACCACCACCAUGUAGCCACUACAGUAAUUGUUGCAAGCAAGAUGGGUGCUAAAAUCAGUGGGCAAAAGUUUGAGAAAAAAACAGGUAUUUGCAUAGUUUCAACAUCUCUUCCCCAAGAUAUUGAUCAGUCACAAAGAGGGAAAUAGUACCUUUUACAGUGGAGAGACCUGGUAGACACCUCCAUAACCUAAUGAUCAUUGGUUAAUGUGUCAAAUUGAAAGUCAAGGGAAAACUAAAGAAUUGUCAGAGAUUGGAAGAGGCUAAGGAGACAUAAAUAGAUGCAAGGUAGGAUCUUGGAUUGGAUAAUAGAACAGGAAAAGGACAAUAAUGAAAAAAAAGUGAAAUUCAAACAAUGUUUAAUAUUAUGACAAUAUUAAUAAUAUCAGUGUUAAUUUCCUGGGUUUGAUCACUGUACAAUGGUUUUGUAAGAUGUGAACAUUGGUAAAUCUGAGAGGAAAUUUAUGUGAACUCUACUUUUUGCAGCUUUUCUUUUUGCAGCUAUUCUGAGAAAUUAUUUCAGAUAAAAGUUAAGAGAAAAAACUAAUGUGGGGCUGCUUGGGUGGCUCAGUCAUAACGCGUCUGCCUUCAGCUCAGGUCGUGAUCCCAGAGUCCUGGGAUCAAGUCCUGCAUUGGACUCCUUGCUCAGUGGGGAGCCUGCUUCUCCCUCUCUGCCUGCCAUUCCCCCUCUGCCUGCCACUCCCCCUCCUUGUGCUCGCUCUCUCUCAUAAAUAAAUAAAAUCUUAAAAAAAAAUAAUGUGGUAAUGACAUCAGGUGCAUUCAUUUCCCAGGGCUGCUAUAACAAAGUACCACAAACCAAGUGGCUUAAAAAUAACAGAACCCUAAUCUCACAGUUCUGGAGGUUAGAAGUUUGAAAUCAAGGUGUCAGCAGGUCCAUGCUCCUUCUGAAGGCUCUAGGGGAGAAUCCUUGCCUCUUCCCUAGUUCCUGGUAGUUACCAGAAAUCUUUGAUGUUCUUUGGCUUGUACCUGCAUGAUUUCAGUCUGUUUCUGUCUUCACCUGGCCUUCUUCUACACCAGUCAUAUUGGAUUUAAUAUGACCUCAUUUUAACUAAAUAAUCUACAAAGUCUCUAUUUCCAAAUAGGGUUGCAUUCUGAGGUUCCAGCAGACAUAAAGUUUUUAGACUAUUCAACCAAGUAUACAGGAAUAGGCAAAUAGACCAAUGGAAUAGAACAGAACUCUAGAAACAGACCCACAUAUUGGAUCUGACUUAUGACAGAUGUGCCACUGCCAUGCAAUAGGGAAAAUAGGGUCUUUUGAAUAAAUGAAUCAAAUGAAAAUCUGCAUGUGGAUAGAAAGAAUCUUGACCCCUUCCUCACAUCAUAUAUAAAGACUAAUUUCAGAUGGAUCAUAAGUAAUUUUGGCUGGAUACCUAAAUGUAACAGGUAAAAUAACAAAUUGUUUUCACAAUACACACAAGAGAAUAUCUUCCUGAUCGGGGUGUAGGCAAAGAUUUCUUUAACUGGAUGCAAAAAGAACUUGACAUUAUUGGGAAGAGUUUAUAAAUUGGACUUAAUUUAAAUUAAAAGCUUCUGUUCAUCAAAAGAUACCAUCAAGGGGCUCCUGGGUGGCUCAGUCGUUAAGCAUCUGCCUUCGGCUCAGGUCAUGAUCCCAGGGUCCUGGGAUCAAGCCCCGCGUCGGGCUCCCUGCUCCGCGGGAAGCCUGCUUCUCCCUCUCCCAUUCCCCCUGCUUGUAUUCCCUCUCUCGCUGUGUCUCUCUCUGUCAAAUAAAUAAAUAAAAUCUUUAAAAAAAAAAAAAAAGAUACCAUCAAGAGAAUGAAAACACAAGCCAUAGAGUGGGAGAUAAUUGCAGUACAUAGACCCAAGAGAGGACUUGCGUCUGAAAUAUAUAAAGAACUCCUACAAAUCAAUAAGAAAAAGGUAACUCAUUUUUUAAAGACUCAAACAGGCAUUUUUCUUAUUUUUUUUUAAAGAUUUUAUUUAUUUGACAGACACAUCGAGAGAGGGAACACAAGCAGGGGGAGUGGGAGAGGGAGAAGCAGGCCUCCCACAGAGCAGGGAGCCCAAUGUGGGGCUUGAUCCC